rnacentral:rRNA from 1 species
CAGCAGCCGCGGUAACACGUAGGUCCCGAGCGUUGUCCGGAUUUAUUGGGCGUAAAGCGAGCGCAGGCGGUUAGAUAAGUCUGAAGUUAAAGGCUGUGGCUUAACCAUAGUACGCUUUGGAAACUGUUUAACUUGAGUGCAAGAGGGGAGAGUGGAAUUCCAUGUGUAGCGGUGAAAUGCGUAGAUAUAUGGAGGAACACCGGUGGCGAAAGCGGCUCUCUGGCUUGUAACUGACGCUGAGGCUCGAAAGCGUGGGGAGCAAACAGGAUUAGAUACCCCCGUAGUCCCUGUCUCUUAUACA